CUUACUUUGUAUGUACCACGAGUUAGUGCACAGUUAGAAUUAUAAUGUAAAUUUGGUUAUGUAUAAGGUACAUGUUUCCCAACUAAAUGGAUGUGGAGGGCAACCUCAUUGAGGUCUUGAUCUGAACUUCCCUGACCCUAAUGAUACUGAGCAAGAAUUCAUAAGUUGAUUGGCUUCUUGCACUUCCUCUUCUCAGAAAUAUCUGUUCAUGUCUUUUGCCCAUUUUUCUACUUUCUUUUCUUAUUGAUUUGUAGGUGCUCUUUUCAUAUUAAUGACACCAACCCUUUGUUGUAUGUAUUGCAAAUAUCUUCUCCAAGUUAGCAUUUCAAUGUAUUGAAGGUAGCUUUUAAUUUACCAAGUACCAGUCAAGGGUUUUUUGUUUGUUUGUUUGCAUGUUUGUUUUAGAUUUGAUAAGAAAUAUUAGCCCCAAUUUUAAGAAGAUUUAAGUGUUCCCUGUACUAAUUAUGUUUGAUUUUUAAAAUCAACACAGUGAAAGAUGCUGAUACAUUUUUACUCUGACUUUUUUUCUGUUAGCAUUCCUAAUCAGCACCAGGAAUUAACUCAAUCUUUCUUGGGAUGGACCAGAUCAGAUAUACUUAGCAGGGUUAGUAUUUUCCUCACAUUAUAUUGUUUGUCUUAAAAUUGAUGCCUCUGUUAAAGACUUUCAAGUUACUUUAAGUUCCUUUUUGGAAAUUAGAAAACAAUCUAGUUGCAUCACCAUUGCACUUAAAAACUAUCAGUAAGGUUAGCCAUUUUCAAAGAUAUCUAGAAGAAACCAAUCUUGUCAUAUUCAUCUCCAGUAUAGAAAAUUACAUAUUAUCUUUUUAAAAAGUGGGAUCUAAUUAAACUAAAGAACGUCUGCACAGCAAAAGCAACUAUCAAUAGAGUAAAAAAAACAACCAACAGAAUGGGAGGAAAUAUUUGCAAACUAUGCAUCUGACAAAAGCAUAUCAUCUACAAUCUAUAAGGAACUUAAAUCGACAAGAAAUAAAGAAUCCCACUAAAAAACGGCAAAGACUAUCCACAAUAGCAAAGACAUGGAAUCCACCUAGACGCCCAUCAACAGUGGACUGGAUAAGGAAAAGGUGGUACAUAUACCCCAUGGAAUACUAUGCAGCUAUAAAUAAAUGAGAUCAUGUCCUUUGCAGCAACAUGGAUGUAGCUGGAGGCCCUAAUCCUAAGCAAAUUAACUCAGGAACAGAAAACCAAAUACCACAUGUUCUUAUUUAUAAGUGGGAGCUAAACCUUGAGUACACAUGGACACAAAGGGAACGACAGACACUGGGACCUAUUUGAGGGUAAAGGGUGGGAGGAGAAUAAAAACUGAAAAACUACCUAUCAGGUAUUAUGUUGAUUACCUGGGUGACAAAAUUAUCAGUACACCAAACCCCCAGGACAUUCAAUUAAUCCAUGUAACAAACCUGCACAUGUAUACCUUGAACCCAAAAUAAGAGUUGGAAACAAAAAUAUGGGCAAAGGACAUGAACAGAUACUUCUCAAAGGAAGAUAUACAUGCAGCCAGUUAGCAUGUGAAAAAGUGCUUAACAUCACUAAUCAUUAGAGAAAUGCAAAUCAAAACCACAAUGAGAUACCAUCAUAUACCAGUCAGAAUUAUUAUUAUUAUUAAAAAAUCAGAAAAUAACAGAUGUUGGCAAAGUUGUGGAGAAAAGAGAACACUUAUACACUGCUGGUGGGAAUGUAAAUCAAUUUAGCCACUGUGGAAAGCAAUUUGGGAAUUUCUCAAAGAACUUAAAAUAGAACUACUGUUUGACCCAGCAAUCCCAUUACUUGCAAUAUACCCAAAAAAAUAUAAAUCAGUCUACCAAAAAGACACGUGCACUUACAUGUUUAUCACAGCACUAUUCACAAUAGCAAAGACAUGGAAUCAACCUAAAUGCCCAUUGAUGGUGGACUGGAUAAAAAGAAUGUGGUACAUAUACACCAUGGAAUACUAUGCAGCUAUAAAUAUAUGAGAUCAUGUCCUUUGCAGCAACAUGGAUGCAGCUGGAAGCCAUUAUCUUAAGCAAAUUGAUGCAGAACAGCAAACCAAAUACCACAUAUUCUCACUUAUAAGUGGGAGCUAAAUACUGAGUACACAUGGACAAAAAGGGAGGAACAAUAGACACCGGAGCCCACUUGAGGCUGGAGGGUGAAAGGAGGGUGAGAACUGAAAAACUACCUAUCAAGUAUUAUGCUCACUACCUGGGUGAUGAAAUCAUUUGUACACCAAAUCUCAGUGACACAUAAUUUACUCAUAAAAAACCUGCACAUCUACUGCUGAAUCUAAACUAAAACUCAAAAAAGAAGAAAAAAUAAAGAAAAUUCUAUUCAUGCAUCGGAUUUCAUUCACCAUCAUGCACUAAAAAAAAAAAAAAACUACUGCAGCUAGAAGAAAAAUAAAGUUAGAUCCCUACCUCACACCAUAUAAAACCAUUAAUUCCUGAUAGAGUGAAGUUCUACAAGGACAAAUAAAACAAUAUAAAACGAAAAUACAAAACAUUUUCAUAACAUUUUUGGGAGGCCUUCCUAGUAAACAAGGAUGAAAGUCAGAAACCCCAAAGGAAAGAGAGCAAAAAUAUCCAACAACAUUUUUAAUUUUUUAGGGUUCAAUCUUCUUAUCAGCCCAAUUAAAAGUGAAUAAGCAAUAAGGACACUUACCCAACCAAAAAAAAACAAAGUAGGAUAGAUGCUGAAUGGGUUAACUUGAAUUUUAUUAUGUCAUUGAAGACCCAGGCUCUAUCUUGGUACUCCGCCAUCCUCAGCUCUUUGGCUUUUGGCCUUGGGCUUGUCCCAAGAUGCUGUCGCUGCUGCAACCCUCACAUCCCUGCUCAACAGUGUCCAGAGGCAAAAGAAGGAAAGGCAGUACCCCUCAGAUCCCUUUGGAAAGUGUGAAACUGACUCAUAGGCUUUCCUUCUCAGAAACCCCCCAUAGGUUUCCCUUCACAUCUCUAUGGCCACAAUUCCAUCACAAGACUGUGCCUAAACCUCAGAAUGAGUAGGAGUGGGAUAACUACCAUUGGCUUAAACUAAUCAAGAUUCACCCUCUGGGACUGGGGAGAAGCCCAUCUUCCCACAGCCCUGAAACUCAUGGCUGACCCUGUUAGCAAGGAAGAGGGAGGAAUGGCUGUUGGGUAAGCAACCCACAGUUCCUAUUGUGGAUAAUAUAAAAUCCCCUCUUGAACAUAAACAAAUAAUUACUGAGUUUAGGAUAUGUGCCAAGCAGCCUUCUGAACUUCAUAGACCAGUACAAGAGUCAGCAAACUUUUUGCGUACAAGGGCACAUGACAAAUAUUUUAGGCUUUGAGGGUCAUUUGUUCUCUUGCACAGCUACUCAACUCUGCUGCCAUAGCUCAAAAGCAGUCGUAGACGAUACGCAAACAAACAGGCAUAGCCAUGCUCCAAUAAAACUUUCUAAAAAUAGGUGGCAGGACAGAUUUUCACCCAAGGGCUGUAGUUUGUGAAUCCCUCGUCCAGUGGAAAGAUAAGCAAGUAAGUCAAUAUCUCACACUUGCUGCAGACAUGUUUUAUUUGGCCAACCCAGAGUUUAAGCAAGAUAUGCACUGUCUGAUUGACCACAGUCUCCACUAUUCCCUAUUGUCUUACACCAUGCCACUUUUCACAUUUACUGCCAUUAUUCCUGGGUAAAAGAAAAGGCUGUUUCACUCAGAGUUCUGGGAAACAUCCACUUGCUUAUUUAUGGCAUCUCUAGCGGCAGAUUUUUGUACAUAAACUUCAUUAACAAAUGCCAUGUAAUGAAACUGUUCCACUAUGACCCUUGGUAUACGUUGGUACUACAGUACCAAACAUACAUACUGUCUUUCUAAUAAAUUUCAUGAAGUUAUUUAGGCACUGAUUUUCUAAGCAUGCAGUGUAGAGGAGCCCUGUACUAAUUCUUUCUCUGAAGUGAUCAGCAGUGGUCCCUGUUGACAAGCUCAGUGGUAACCCAAUCUCUGUAUUCUGCUGACAAGCUACACUCCCGUGGUUUAUGAGAUCAGUGGAAUCCCUCCAUAGAAUUAUACCCUUUUAUUGAGUCCUGAACCAUAUAUUAUCAUGAAUGCUAAGCCAGUCGAAAUGGUCCAUCCCCUCUGCCUUAACAUUAGACAAAGCCUUGAGCAAUUACCCUUCUCUGCAGAGAAUGUCCUUUAUUUGGCAUCAAAUCCUGCUGAAACUUUAUGUGCCUGGGCCUCCUGCACUUUAUCUCCAGGCUCCAAGCCGAGCUGCCCUUAACUGGCAUCGGAGUCCGAGGCCAUUUGGACAAGGACCUUGAGGAAGUUGAAUGUCUCCCUUUCCAUAAAGAAAGAAUUAGCAAAGAAAAUUAAAAGUGUGCGCUCAAUUUCAGAGGAAAUGAUUAUACCCCUGACAAAGAGUAGCAGCCUUCAGGGGAUGUCAAGCACUUGGAAAGCAUGCUUUCCACCCACAAGGAGCCAAGUAGUGUACCUAAGCCUCCCCAGAAAAUGAUGCUUUCUUAAAUGCUUCAAAACAAGGAGACAUUCAUUCAACAAACAUUUCUUCAGCAUCUGCUCUGUGUCAGAUACUGUGCUAGGCACCACAGAUGCAACAGGGAAUGGAAAAGCCCAGAAUUGACAGUGUGUUGCAUGUUAAAGAAGGGCUCACACCUGUAAUCCCAGCACUUUGGGAGGCUGAAGCAGGAGGAUCACUUGAGGCCAGGUAAGUGACCAGCCUGGACAACAUAGUGAGACCCCAUCUCUACAAAAAAUACAAAAAUUAGCUGGGCGAGGUGGCAUAUGCCUGUAGCCCCAGCUACUCAGGAGGCUGAGGUGGAAGGAUCACUUGAGUCUGGGAGGUCAAGGCUGCAGUAAGCCCUGAUCAUGCCACUGCACCCUAGGCUGGGCAACAGAGUGAGACCCUGUCUCAAAAAAAUAAAAAUAAUUUUUAAAAGGGAGCUGGGAGCAGACAGUAAACAAGUCACCAAGUCUGUGACAUGAAAGUAAGUUGUCAUAAGUGACAUGGAGGGAAAAAACAAAGUGCUGUGUGUGUUAAUUUGCUGUUGCUGUUCUCACACAUUACCACAAAUUGGGUGGCUUAACACAACAGAAAUGUAUCCUCUCACUGUUCCGGAGGCCAGAAAUCUAAAAUAUAGGUGUCAGUAGCGCCAUGCUCCCUCCAAAGCUCCAGGUGGCUGCAGGCACUCCCAGGCUUAUGGCUGCACCACUCUAUCCUCUGCCUCCAAUGCCACACAGCCUUCUCCUCUCCCCAGGUGUUUCUCUUCUGUUUGUCUCUUGUAAGAACAUGUGUCAUUGCAUUUAAAGCCCACUCAAAUAAUCCAGGAUGAUCUUAUCUCAAGAUCCUUAAUUGAAUUGAAUCUACAAAGACCCUUUCUCUCCAAUAAGGUCACAUUCAUAGGUUCCAGCAAGUAGAGAUAUCUUUUGGCAGCACCAUUCAACUCACUACAUUGUAGGAGAUAAUAAAUAAUGGGGUAGCUUACUUUAGGUGGAGGGGUCAGAAAAGGCCUCUGAGAAGGUAAGACUUAAGACACAACUUGAAGAAUGAGGAAGAUCACAACAUGCAGAGAAGGGGAGAACUGGGCAUAGGGAGAAAGCGUUGCUGACCGAGGGCACAGUCUGUGCAAAGGCCCCGAAACCAGCUGAGUUUACAAAAACUGAAAAAAAGGCCAGUGUGGCAAGAGCAGAGCGAAUAAAAUGGCCUGAGAUGUGCUGGGAACGUGAGCAGAGGCCUGUCCUGAAAGCUUUGGAAGCCACAGUAAGAAGCUGGCAUUUUGCAGCCAGGAGCAGUGCCUCAUGCUGAAAUCCUAGCACCUUGGGAGGCCAAGGUGGGCGGAUUGCUUGAGGCCAGGAGUUCAAGACCAGCCUGAGCAACACAGCGAGACCUUGUCUCUACAGAAAAUAUUUUUUUAGCAUUUUUUUAAUUUUUUUUUAAAUACAAGCAGCUGGCAUUUUACCUCAAGUGCAAGGGAAAGGCACUGAGGGUUUGAAGCAUAAAAAUAACAUGAGGAAAUUCACAUUUCAUCACGAAGGUUUUUCAAAUAGCAUAGCUAGCCUUCAUUUAAACCAGAAAUUAUUGCUUUUACUGUAGCUUUAGCAAUAACAAAUGCAUAGAAUCAUUUACCCUGUUAUAUGCAUGAAUUCAUUUAAUAAAAUGUAUAUAUAGUGCUCAUUUUGGCACCACAUAUACUAAAAUUGGAACAAUACAGAGAAAAUUAGCAUGACCCCUGUGCAAGGAUGACACAAAAAUUCAUGAAGCAUGACAUUAAAAAAAUAUAUAUAUACAAUAACCCAAAUACAAGCUAGGGCACCAUGUGGUCCAGAGUAUACCUGUGUUGUGGACUGAAUUAUGUCUGCCCAACAAAAAAUCCUGAAUUGUAGUCCUAGCCCCAGAAUCUCAGGUGUGACCUUAUUUGAGAAUAGGGUUAUUCCAAAUGUAACUAACUCAGAUGAAGUCAUACCAGAGUAGGGUGGGCCCCUAACCCAAUAUGUCUGGUGUGAGAAAUUUGGACACAAGCAUGCAUACAGAGAGCACUCCACAUGAACAUGAAGAUGGCCAUCUACACACCAAGGAGAGAGCCCUGGAACAGAGCCUGCCCUCACAGCCCUCAGAAGGAAACAGCCUCACGGAUGCUUUGACCUUCAACUUCCAGCCUCCAGAACUGUAAGACAAUAAAUUUCUGUUGUUUAAGGCAUCCAGUCUGUGGCACUUUGUUAUGGCAGUCCUAGCAGACUAACACAGUCUGAUAACACUUUAGGAAGCGAGGUCUUCCUAAAUGUGAGCAAUUCCAGUCUUUACCAGCACCCCUGCUAGAACACCGAAGGGGGUCUAAUUCACAGCCCAUACCAACACCUAAUCAAGCCAUCUUCUCCACUCUUCUCAUUCUCCACUUCUCUUCCCACCCACAGAGCCCCCAGCAGCCUCUUUCCUCAUGCCUGGCCUUGACUAACUCCCCACCAAAACUGCUCCCAAAAUCCUACAAUAAGGUUUUUGAUUCCUUCAUGCCCCACGCCCACUUCCUGGACCUGUUCUGUUUUUCUCUCCAGUGGUUCUUUACUCUCAAGUACUCAUCACCAUCCCCUCUCCCCAAGGAUUACUCCAUCAGAUACAUGGCCUGGGAGCCCUGCCGGGUCCCUUAGCAGACAGAGAGAGACAGAGCCUAAGAAGAGAGACAGAGAGAGAGAAUAUUGAGGCAGGAGUAAAAACACAAUUUUAUAUCUUAUACAUUUCUUUUCACAUGCAAACUUUUAAUGAUAACCUCCAUGAGAACAGAAACUACAUCUUGUACAUUUUGCACCCCCUGUAAUGUGGAGCAGACCACUUUGCAUGAAGGUGACACAGAUUGAUUUUUAAAAUCUUGCCUGAGACCCUGAAUCCUUGCUCUAUGAUCAGGCAUUCUUCCUACACCAUCUAUGAAGUUACUGAGCUGAAACCGUCUCGUCUAGUCUUAAUUAAGCUUUGGCGACAUCUGUCAUGAGUGACUGGUGACAUUUUUCCAUCCACUCAUCACUCCUAAAAAUGGACUCACUCCUGCUAACGAGGAAUCAACAACCUAAGGCGGCCAGGAGCAUAGGUGAGGGAGGGUGCAGGAGGCCUCACAGACAUAUGCAGGGAAGGGGAGGAGUAGCUGCCACAUUGGGACCCUGCUCCCAAAUGCAACUAGCAUAGACAGCAAAAUCCCCUUCUACCAGAAACAUGUUUUGUCGAUCAGACACAAUCCUAAAAAGGAUGGAGUAAAGCAGAAAGGGACAGUGUCUCCAGGGGAAGCCAGGGAAGGCCAAGAUGCUAUGUACUUCAUUAUGGCCUGCAGGAUCCUGAGGGAAGGAACUAUACAUAAUUCAACUUUGUACUUCCUGUCUCCCCUCCAAUCUCUACCUCCAGGCUCCUAGCCUAGGACCUAGCACUCUUUGAAACUGACUGGGUAGUUGGUUGGUUUGUUGGUUGGAUGGUUGGUUGGUUGGAUGGAUGAAUGAGCAACCAAAAUCUCCAUUCCCUUCCUGAGUACUAUUCUUCAGGGAUUUUGCAAAGCCCAUCAUCAACAUCUUAAGCCAAUCUCUACUGCCUUAAGCCAAUCAUCAACGUCUCCGACUAAGAAAGGAAGUUAAAGAUUUCUUAGAAUCCCAGAGUCCCCAAAGAUGCUCAUGAGCUAUCAAAGGGAGCACAUCUAAGGGAUCACUAGAGAAUCUUCUAUAUUAAAACUUUCUAACUUUAUACUUUUUUUUGACCAACUUACUUUUAUCCUAAUGUUUUACAAACUUCAACUACAAACGUUUUUAAGCACUUACUGUGCAUAAGGUCCCAUAAAGCAGUCUUUUCACUUUAAAAGUUAAAGUCUUCAAACUUUUAAGCUCAUGUUACCUCCUAAAGAAUUUUGAUACACUAAGUAAGUCCUUGCACAUUUUUGGUUGACAUCUAAAAUUAACAUAAAUUUAAAUAAUAUGAACGAUGCAAUUCCCACUGUAUUGUAAAUAUUGACAUUUUAUAAAUAAAACUGUUACAUUACUCUUUUAAAUGUUUCCAAUGGAAUCUAAAUACCAUAGUAAUUUGAUACUCACCAUCAGCUAUUUUAAAAAAUACAAGAACAAACUCUUCUUUAUGAGUCAUAAAAUUUUACAUUUUUCCUUUUUCCUCUUUGAAAUCAAAUUUAUUUGUUCUAAUAUAAUUUUGUGCUAGUAAGUCUUUUAUAAUCACAUUGUUAUCCUAAUUCUAUGCAAGAAAAAAAUGUAUAUAAGUUGAAAUUCUAGUUUCCUUUUUACCUCCGGGACCAUUAGGAUCUGAGUGCUAAUAAUUUUCCUCUGGAUUGAAUAUCAUUGUAACCAUUAUUUGUAUACAUUUGAUCAAGGCAAUGUAAACAUAUUACAAAUUUUGGUAUAUGAGUAAUAAACAUAUACAUACAAUCUAUUGAAAACAUAUGUCUUAAUCAGGUUGAGGGGGACAUGGAGGCUUUGCAGACAUCGGUGUUUUGAAUGUCACUGUUUGGUACUUCCAGGGAGAUAGGGCUGGGUCUUUCUUUGUUAAGGUGAAAGAAAAACGUCUGGAAAGAGUAGGAGGCAAAAACAGAACCAGCCUCCACGACAGGCACAUUCUCAGGCAGACGUGUGUUAGCACAGGACACAUAGGGAAUUCCUUUGAAGCCACCUUUGCCCACAUAGCCCUUGGAAAGUUCUCCCAUACCUCCUGGGGUAUCAGUAGCUAAGGUUUGAAGAUGAAAUCAUGAACAAUUCAGGUCAGAACAAGACCCAAUUUCAGUCUGUCAUGAGUUUACAUCUGGGCAGGUAGGUGAGCCAUAAGCACUCCACCUGAGAUGUAUUAACAGUGAGAGAUGGAAAGCACAA
rnacentral:lncRNA from 1 species